rnacentral:snRNA from 1 species
CUGGUCAGUAUGAUCCCAAAACC